GGGGAUAUAGCUCAGUGGUAGAGCAUUUGCCUGGGAGGCAUGAGGCUCUGGGUUCAAUGUCCAGCACCA
rnacentral:tRNA from 1 species